rnacentral:rRNA from 1 species
UAAUACGAGAGGCCCAAACGUUAUUCGGAAUUACUGGGCUUAAAGAGUUCGUAGGCGGCAUUGCAAGUAGGGUGUGAAAGCCCUCGGCUCAACCGAGGAAUUGCGCUCUAAACUGCAGUGCUCGAGGAAGCUAGAGGUGAGCAGAACAGAUGGUGGAGCGGUGAAAUGCGUUGAUAUCAUCUGGAAUACCGGAGGCGAAGGCGGCUCACUGGGGCUUUUCUGACGCUGAGGAACGAAAGCCAGGGUAGCGAACGGGAUUAGAUACCCCGGUAGUCCUGGCCGUAAACGAUGAGCACUAGGCCGGAGGGCUGCACAGCCUUUCGGCCGUAGCUAAAGUGUUAAGUGCUCCGCCUGGGGAGUAUGGUCGCAAGGCUG